rnacentral:tRNA from 1 species
GGUAGCGCGUUGGGCUCAUAACCCAAAGGUCCGAGGAUCGAAACCUCGAAUCGCUA